rnacentral:rRNA from 1 species
UAUUGGUCAAUGGACGAGAGUCUGAACCAGCCAAGUAGCGUGAGGGAUGACUGCCCUAUGGGUUGUAAACUUCUUUUAUAUGGGAAUAAAAUGUUCCACGUGUGGGAUUUUGUAUGUACCAUAUGAAUAAGGAUCGGCUAGCGCCGUGUCAGCAGCCGCGGUAAUACGCAGGAUCCGAGCGUUAUCCGGUUUUAUUGGGUUUAAAGGGAGCGUAGGUGGAUUGUUAAGUCAGUUGUGAAAGUUUGCGGCUCAACCGUAAAAUUGCAGUUGAAACUGGCAGUCUUGAGUACAGUAGAGGUGGGCGGAAUUCGUGGUGUAGCGGUAAAAUGCUUAGAUAUCACGAAGAACUCCGAUUGCGAAGGCAGCUCACUGGACUGCAACUGACACUGAGGCUCGAAAGUGUGGGUAUCAAACAGG